ACAGUCAAAGAAUAAAAAAUACACAAAUUUAGCCUCAAAGCUUCUCUAAAAAGUGAUACAACCAUCAAAUCCUUCCUAAUUCACAUUAAUCACAAUAAAUUCAAAACCUAAAACCUUCACUGUAAAAACAAGGGGAAAUUGACAGAAAGGGGAGGCCAUUUUACACACACAAAAAUUGGUAAACCAAAAAUCAUCCACGCUCUAACAUAAAGAGGAAGAAGUGAAUUUGGAAACCGAAACUUCGACUCCGCCGCAAAUCACCGCCGUAGCCUCCGGCAACCAUGCUUCCAAGCCGCUCCCUUCCACAAGCGACCACCACCGCGUGAAGCUCCGCGAAUCCUUAUUGUCACCACCGAACUCAAAGCAACAACAAAUCGACGGCGUACCCUUUCGCGCAGAGAAUAAUCUAUCAUGGUGGAGCAUUUGAUGAUGAUAUGGCAAAUAUCAGUGUUUCACAUGUCCUGUAUCUUGACGUUGUUGAUCCAAAUAAGUAGUUUAGGGAAGCAAGUAGUACCAGUGAAGCAACCGCAUCGGCAUGAUGUUCUAGAAAGCAAUCAAUUAUUUCAAAGAAUAGCUGCAGUAUUAAAACAUAGAAAUUAAAGAGAAUAAUCUAUCAUGGUGGAGCAUUUGAUGAUGAUAUGGCAAAUAUCAGUGUUUCACAUGUCCUGUAUCUUGACGUUGUUGAUCCAAAUAAGUAGUUUAGGGAAGCAAGUAGUACCAGUGAAGCAACCGCAUCGGCAUGAUGUUCUAGAAAGCAAUCAAUUAUUUCAAAGAAUAGCUGCAGUAUUAAAACAUAGAAAUUAAAGGUCAGUUGUUUAGUGAAUAUAGCUUACAUGAUCUUUAAUGUCUCUUUGAAAACAUUUUUCAGGUUGCAUAUUUGAACUAUUUUAUCCAUAUCUGCCUAUUGUAAAUUUUAAAUGUGUUUAGGCACUUGAUUCAUUGUUGGUGGAGUUAUGUUAUUCAUGUCAUGAGUAAUUAGCAUACAUAUUCGCUUUUUAUGAUUAUUUAUCUGGUUGUUUAUAUUGUUGUGUGUGAUAGCAUGUUACAUGUCUAUGCUUAGAUCAGAUUUAAUUGUGAAGUAAAUGGCUUUCUCUGCUUUUUUAUUUUCUUGAUAGUUCUUAAUUUUGGCCAAACUGAAUUUGUUUGCUUCAUACUUGGCAGUUCUACUCUAUUUAUUAGUGUUAAUUAUUAAACAGAAUAAUCAACUUGGGAGAAGCAAGAAUAUAUGUGUAGAACGUAAUGAUUGCAUUUUUUUAAUUUUUGAUUAAUAAUGUUUUCAAAAGUUGAUUAAAUAUAAUGAUUGUUGUGUGUUUGUUGUAAAGGAACGUGAUGAGGCUGAAGACAUUAGCUGGUGUUAGUUUGAUUGCAAUUUUAGGUAUUCCAUAUCAUGCAUUUAACAGUAGAGGACAAUUUUAUCCACCAAUAGUGUCAUUUUGCCUCAAUUCCCUAUAACACUAAUAUGGUAUCAUUUUGCCUCGUAUUUUGCUAUGCAGCCAGCUUAUGAGUUAUGUGUUUUUCUAUAGUGCUUGGAAAUUAUAAUCAAAUCGUUGAAUUAAUAUUUUAUAUCUUAAUUAGUUAUUUUUAAUUUAAAUUUAUAAUUUAAUAUUUAUACUUCUAUUCCUACUAAGACUAAUAUUAAAUUUUGAAAUUAUGGUAAAAUUACAGUAUUAUGAGAAACUAUUUAUAUAUGUUUCAAAUUUUAAAAAAAUCGGUGUUUUUUUUUUAUUUAAGUAGAAUUUUGAACAUUUAUGUUUGAUAUCUUCCGAUUUUAAAGAAAGUUUCUAUUUAGAGUUUGAAGCAUAAAAAAAGCAGUAUACGUGAAUAAAGCCAAAUAGUAUAUUAAAUUUGUUUUUUAAUAAAAUAAAAUAAACCAAUAAUAAAUGUAACAGUUUUAAAAUAUUUGCAAUUUUAAAUAUGGUAAUUAUAAGGAUAUUUUCUUUCUUCUGAUUCAAAAUAAUUGAUAUAAAAUUAUCAGAUUUAAAUAGUCUUAAUUACAUCACAAUUAUAUUUUUAUAUAUUCUACAUUUAACUCUAAAUUAAGUAAUGAAUUGACAUUGUACAAUUAUAUUUGGAUAUUUAAAUAUUUCAUUAUUAAUUUCAAUAUUUAUUAUAUUUUUCAAAUUAAUAUUUUUAAUAUUAUUAUUACUAUUUUUUAUAAUGUUGAUCAACUUUAGAAAAUAAAUUUUGGCCAAAAGACGCGUUUUCAUUUUUUAUGACACAAAAUUAAAAACAAUAAUUUUUAUUCACAUUUUCCUAUAAAUGAUUUUAUAACCAAAUAUUUAAAAAUAUGUUGAAUAUUAGAAGUAAUAAAUUUUUGAUGUUGAAAUUGUUUUAUAAUUUGCAAAAAAAAAAAAUUAGUUAAUUUAAUUUUUUUAUGUAUACUAUUAAUAA